rnacentral:sRNA from 2 species
GCUGCAUUUUUCAUUCCACCUCCCGCCCAUCUCGGAGUAUUUCUGGCAUUUUUUUUUUAAAACUUAUAACUUCCCUAGUCAUUUGUUGUUUUCCUCUUACUCGGAUACUCACUCUUAGUUACUCCAUCUUUGUUUUACUGGAUGUUUCCGUCCAGCAUGCUCUGACAUCCAUUUCCCCCCUUGCAACCUCCCUAUCUCCAACCCCAACCCCAGCCGUCCCGCCAGGCCCACGCGAUGCGCCUGAACGCAGUUUCAUCCAACUCCAACUCCACCUCGACUCUUACUGUGACCGAGCCUGCUAAUAAUGAAAAUGACAAAGAAUGGGUGCGCUCUCGCAGGCUGACUGAUCCGUUGACCAGCCAGCCUGCAAAGGCGCCGCUUACAGACCGUCGUUCGUCGGAUUCUGCCGCUCGUCUUCUCCAGACUCCGAAAUCCACCUCCAACUUGGCCGUCUAUACGGGCAACAACAGCAGCAAUUCCUGCGCCAUCAGCUCUGACAGUCUAUCUGACCCUUCCCUUGCCUGCUUCUCGCCACGCAAAAUAAAUGCCCUGAAGCCUCCGACACGAACCACGCCAACCAGCAUCCCUACGCUACUAAUACAGACACCCCGGGCACAGACCACCCGUGACCUACAUGAAUUAUCUCCAGCGUCUGCCAACAAUAAUUCCGCAGCCUCUUCCACCACUCCUCCAACCACCUCCUCUUCCGCAACUUCACGUUCGCUAAAAUCCCAACCCAGCCUCGAGCCAAAGUCUCCCCAUCAGAAAAGGUCUCCCGCGUCUCGAAGUUCCUGCGGAAUCGAAACGUCAACUGGUCCACCGCCCGCGCUUUCCACACAGCGCUCCCUGUCCUAUGACAAAUCCCGGCCCAAUACAAAAGCAUCAACAGCGACUUCGCUUCAUAGACCAAGGUCUUUCGGAAGUACCGCAAGAUCGAAAACAAAACCUCAACCUCCCCGUCCGGCAUCCAGCAUUGAUGAAGUCUUGAAACCAGACUCUUCUACUACGGCGACUGGCAAAUUGCGACAGCGCUC